rnacentral:rRNA from 1 species
GACGAACGCUGGCGGCGUGCUUAACACAUGCAAGUCGAACGAUGACGACCGAGCUUGCUCGGUCUGAUUAGUGGCGAACGGGUGAGUAACACGUGAGCAACCUGCCCUUCACUCUGGGAUAACCUCGGGAAAUCGGGGCUAAUACCGGAUAUGAGCUCCUGUCGCAUGGCGGGUGUUGGAAAGUUUUUCGGUGAAGGAUGGGCUCGCGGCCUAUCAGUUUGUUGGUGGGGUAGUGGCUCACCAAGGCGAUGACGGGUAGCCGGCCUGAGAGGGCGACCGGCCACAUUGGGACUGAGAUACGGCCCAGACUCCUACGGGAGGCAGCAGUGGGGAAUAUUGCACAAUGGGCGAAAGCCUGAUGCAGCGACGCCGCGUGAGGGAUGACGGCCUUCGGGUUGUAACCCUCUUUCACCAGUGACGAAGCGUAAGUGACGGUAACUGCUAAAGAAGCACCGGCUAACUACGUG